CUGAAAAGAGCUGAAAAUGAACUAAAAGAUCAAGCGAGGAUGGAAAAAAUUAUCUACUUUUUGUCUUUCUUCUCCUUCUCAGCAGCAUCCUUCUCUUUCUUUUGUUUAUUACGAAUACCUACCAACUUUGCGUC
rnacentral:ribozyme from 13 species